rnacentral:rRNA from 1 species
GACGAACGCUGGCGGCGUGCCUAAUACAUGCAAGUAGAACGCACAGUUUAUACCGUAGCUUGCUACACCAUAGACUGUGAGUUGCGAACGGGUGAGUAACGCGUAGGUAACCUGCCUGGUAGCGGGGGAUGACUAUUGGAAACGAUAGCUAAUACCGCAUAAUAUUGAUUAUUGCAUGAUAAUUGAUUGAAAGAUGCUAUUGCAUCACUACCAGAUGGACCUGCGUUGUAUUAGCUAGUAGGUGAGGUAACGGCUCACCUAGGCGACGAUACAUAGCCGACCUGAGAGGGUGAUCGGCCACACUGGGACUGAGACACGGCCCAGACUCCGACGGGAGGCAGCAGUAGGGAAUCUUCGGCAAUGGACGAAAGUCUGACCGAGCAACGCCGCGUGAGUGAAGAAGGUUUUCGGAUCGUAAAGCUCUGUUGUAAGAGAAGAACGGGUGUGAGAGUGGAAAGUUCACACUGUGACGGUAUCUUACCAGAAAGGGACGGCUAACUACGUG